GCAAGUGGAGCGACGAACCAGGCUUCGGCCUGGGGCAAAGCCGCGAACGGGUGAGUAACACGUGGGUAACCUGCCCUGAUGAUUGGGACAACCCGAGGAAACUCGGGCUAAUACCGAAUGUGCCCUCCGACCAUAAGGUCGCUGGGGAAAGGAAGCUUCGGCCUCCGCAUCGGGAUGGGCCCGCGGCGCAUUAGCUUGUUGGUGAGGUAACGGCUCACCAAGGCGACGAUGCGUAGCUGGUCUGAGAGGACGAUCAGCCACACUGGGACUGAGACACGGCCCAGACUCCUACGGGAGGCAGCAGUGGGGAAUCUUGCGCAAUGCGCGAAAGCGUGACGCAGCAACGCCGCGUGGGGGAAGAAGGCCUUCGGGUUGUAAACCCCUUUCAGUUGGGACGAAGCUUCGCCGGUGAAUAGCCGGCCGGAGUGACGGUACCUUCAGAAGAAGCCCCGGCUAACUACGUGCCAGCAGCCGCGGUAAUACGUAGGGGGCAAGCGUUGUCCGGAAUCAUUGGGCGUAAAGAGCGUGUACGCGGCUUGGUAAGUCCGCUGU
rnacentral:rRNA from 1 species